rnacentral:tRNA from 1 species
GGACAGGUGGCCGAGUGGUUUAAGGCGCAGCCUGGAACGCGUGUGUGCGUGAAAGCGUACCGUGGGUUCGAAUCCCACCCUGUCCGCCA